rnacentral:rRNA from 1 species
UGGGGGAUAUUGCACAAUGGGCGAAAGCCUGAUGCAGCGACGCCGCGUGGGGGAUGAAGGCUUUCGGGUUGUAAACCUCUUUCGCUAUCGAACAAGGCCCGCUUAGGGUGGGUUGAGGGUAGGUGGAGAAGAAGCGCCGGCUAACUACGUGCCAGCAGCCGCGGUAAUACGUAGGGCGCGAGCGUUGUCCGGAAUUAUUGGGCGUAAAGGGCUUGUAAGCGGCUUGUUGCGCCUGCUGUGAAAACGCGGGGCUUAACUUCGCGCGUGCAGUGGGUACGGGCAGGCUUGAGUGUGGUAGGGGUGACUGGAAUUCCAGGUGUAGCGGUGGAAUGCGCAGAUAUCUGGAGGAACACCGAUGGCGAAGGCAGGUCACUGGGCCAUUACUGACGCUGAGGAGCGAAAGCAUGGGUAGCGAACAGG